rnacentral:lncRNA from 1 species
GCCGGAACCGCUUUUGUGGUCUCCGAGACACUCAUUUGCUGUCCUGGUUUCCAAAGCUCCACGUGCUCAGCGCCGAAAACUUGCAAAUCAUUUGCUGUCUAUACUGGGCGCCCGCUGCGUGCCAGGUACUGCCACCGGCUCUCUCCUCACGGUGGAAUAACUUAACAGAGAAGACAGACAUCAAUCAAAUACCCUGGAAACGUGGAAGGCAGGGGAAAGAACAAAGGGAGAGCAAAAUCGCCCCAAUCCCACAUCACCCGCGACGUGAAAGGAUUUGUCCUUCCAGCUGCGGGACUCCUAUUUGUUUAUUUCAAGUCAGAGGCCUUCCCUUUAUGCCCACAUCUGUUCCCGACCCUCUCCUCUGAUUUUCCUCACAUGUAUUUCCUCCCCUCUUCAGCCCCGCGCCAGCUCCAGGCACAGCCGUUCAGGGUGAUGCCAAAGGGAAAUGAGAACGCCUGGUUUCGAGUGCCAGCCUGAGGCCCCUUAAGCCCUAGGUACGCAGCUCUCUCUUCUUUCUUAAACUUUCCAGCCCAGGAAAAUCACCCUUCGGUUUUACAGAUGCGAUAGGGCGUUAUUGUGAUUCCUUCAUUCACGUAAACAUGAAUUGAGUGUCUAGUGGGUUCCAGGCACACCAGGAAAGAAUAAGUGACAGAUUUGCCCUCCAUCUCUCAUCCUAGCCUGGCUCCAAAAACUGCAGCCUGUUUCCCUCAACAAAAAUGACGUCAAGAAUACCUAGAUGUGACCACACCGAACUUGCUUGCCCGUUUUGGGAAACCCAACUUUCUUCCUGAAUAGUCAGAACCUCUGGCUUUCCUGGUCUCUUAAGAACCGCAAACUAUUGAAAAGCAGAUGCGUCUUUCAGCCUCUUUAAUAAAUGCAGUAAGGA